UGAUCUCUUCCUCCGCAGUGUGUGGCAUGAGCCGCAUGCGGCCUCUUCGGGAUGGUCGCUCAGCGAGGAGGAAGGCGGCAGAAAGCGUCCCGAAGGCUGGAGGUGCCCCUGCAGGCUUUGUCCGCUGGCCUGCCGCGCUCGGCUGCUCCCCAGAGCGGCAUGGCCGUGCCAGGGGAAAGCCAGCACGGGGCAGCUGCGGUCCUGCCACCCAACGGGCGCCGGUAGGAGUCCUACUUGGCAUGCUCAGGUUUGAGAUAUUCUAGACAUGAGUGAUCACACCUAAACCCAAAGCAAAGCUUGGGACUCCCUAGGAAGUGCCUUCUAACAGAAGGUUUCUCAAGCCUGUUUGUUGUGAGCCUGUGUGAUAAAUGUCUUGAGUGAAGAGAGUUCCCUGUAAAUUGCUUGGUCUCCAGGGAGGAAUCCAGCAUGUGCAAGGAACUUCAGCCAGUAAUAAACAUCAGCUUACAAUGUCCUGAGUGGCUGAUCUCUGAGUUCACACCAGAUGACUUCAGUUGCCACCUGCAAUGCAUUGUGUUGAGAGUGGAAUCCAGACAAGCAGUGGCUGAAGACUGCACACCUUCAGUGAGCAUGCCUAGUCAGAUGAAGCUCACCAUUUGAUGAGACCUGUUUCUUAACCUGUAAUGACAGGAGGAGGAAUGGGUUUAAACUGGCAGAGGGGAGAUUGGAGCUGGAUGU